GACGAACGCUGGCGGCGUGCCUAAUACAUGCAAGUUGAGCGAUGAAGAUUGGUGCUUGCACCAAUUUUAAGAGCAGCGAACGGGUGAGUAACGCGUGGGGAAUCUGCCUUUGAGCGGGGGACAACAUUUGGAAACGAAUGCUAAUACCGCAUAACAACUUUAAACAUAAGUUUUAAGUUUGAAAGAUGCAAUUGCAUCACUCAAAGAUGAUCCCGCGUUGUAUUAGCUAGUUGGUGAGGUAAAGGCUCACCAAGGCGAUGAUACAUAGCCGACCUGAGAGGGUGAUCGGCCACAUUGGGACUGAGACACGGCCCAAACUCCUACGGGAGGCAGCAGUAGGGAAUCUUCGGCAAUGGACGAAAGUCUGACCGAGCAACGCCGCGUGAGUGAAGAAGGUUUUCGGAUCGUAAAACUCUGUUGGUAGAGAAGAACGUUGGUGAGAGUGGAAAGCUCAUCAAGUGACGGUAACUACCCAGAAAGGGACGGCUAACUACGUG
rnacentral:rRNA from 1 species